UACGGAGGGGGCUAGCGUUGUUCGGAAUUACUGGGCGUAAAGCGCACGUAGGCGGCUUUGUAAGUUAGAGGUGAAAGCCCAGAGCUCAACUCUGGAACUGCCUUUAAGACUGCAUCGCUUGAAUCAUGGAGAGGUCAGUGGAAUUCCGAGUGUAGAGGUGAAAUUCGUAGAUAUUCGGAAGAACGCCAGUGGCGAAGGCGACUGACUGGACAUGUAUUGACGCUGAGGUGCGAAAGCGUGGGGAGCAAACAGG
rnacentral:rRNA from 1 species